GGAUUAGAUACCCUGGUAGUCCACGCCCUAAACGAUGUGUGCUAGACGUCGGGAGGCUUGCCUCUCGGUGUCGGAGCUAACGUGUUAAGCACACCGCCUGGGGAGUACGGUCGCAAGAUUAAAACUCAAAGGAAUUGACGGGGGCCCGCACAAGCGGUGGAGCAUGUGGUUUAAUUCGACGCAACGCGCAGAACCUUACCAGCCCUUGACAUGAUAGUUUCGAUUUCCAGAGAUGGAUCUCUCGGUUCGGCCGGACUAUUACAGGUGCUGCAUGGCUGUCGUCAGCUCGUGCCG
rnacentral:rRNA from 1 species